UACGUAGGGGGCUAGCGUUGUCCGGAUUUAUUGGGCGUAAAGAGCGUGUAGGCGGCCAGGUAGGUCUGCUGUGAAAACUCGAGGCUCAACCUCGAGACGUCGGCGGAAACCAUCUGGCUAGAGUCCGGAAGAGGAGGGUGGAAUUCCUGGUGUAGCGGUGAAAUGCGCAGAUAUCGGGAAGAACACCCGUGGCGAAGGCGGUUCUCUGGGACGGUACUGACGCUGAGACGCGAAAGCGUGGGGAGCGAACAGG
rnacentral:rRNA from 1 species